GAUCGAUGUAGAAAUGAGAAUCUCAUAUGUGCCCCGCGAAUACCCUAGGUUAAAGCAUACCCUUUCACUCAGCAACGUCCUAGCCUCCGCGGGCAACGACGGAGAGCGAACCCUCUUCUCUUCAUCUGGUGAAGCGCCUUCUAUCUUCCCCUUCCUCCUCCUCUUUCACUCACACUCACCAACUUGUUACUAUCACAACACGCAUCCUCGCCGGCGCCAACAUGCACCGCCAACUCCACCACCUCCACCACCUCCUCCUCUCCUCUCACCCCAACCACAUGGCCCACUCUUCCAUCACUUCCAUGGUCCGGGUCCUUCUUCUUUGUCUCCGUCUUCGUCGUCCCCAAAAUGGUCGUGCAAGGUCUGCACUUUCUUAAACCCUUACAACAACCCCUCUUGCCAGGUUUGUGGCACUCGCUACCUCUCCAAUCUCAAAGACUUGGACAACGCUAGUGAACACGAUUCUUUUGUUGGCUAUGUUUUCUUCCCUCUUCGACCCUGCAACAAGAGAAAGGCCAUCGACGACCACGAUUCUUUUUAGAGGGUGAAUCUGAAGCUCAAGCUAUCCUAAAAGGCUACCGAUAUCACCGGUGAUGAGGAUACUGAUUUAGGAAAAGAUUUUAGUUCGUUUAAGAUAUUGAGUUACAAUGUUUAGUUCCGGGAAGACUUGGAGUUGCACAAGAGGAUGAAGGCUAUUGGCGACUUUGUUCAAUUGCAUUCUCCUGAUUUAAUUUGUUUCCAGGAAGUUACUCCCAAUAUAUAUGACAUUUUCAAGCAAUCCACAUGGUGGGGGUGUAUAUCGUUGUUCUGUUUCUUCUAAGAUGUCUUAUUCAAGACCCUACUUUUGUAUGCUGGCUGCGGUCGGAAAUAAAUCUUCCAAUUAUGAGAGAAUUGGUUCCUCAUUAUCUCCAGGAUUCAGGACGGAAAGGAGCUUGGUUAGCACAUCUGCCCAUUGAUCCAAAGCUGGAAUGUGAUAAAUCAGAAGUUGCUUGGAUAAAACCUUUUCUUGAACAAAAAAGACAUCAGUUUCCAUAUUUUUAGUUUGAUUGUGAAAGACAGGAUUGUGAGCAAAAGCUAUUGCAAUUUGGUCAUCAUAGAGCACGAGAGGUGUAGAAAAAAGAACCUGAAGUAAGAUAAUGAUAGCAGUGGGUAUUUUAGUGUAUGAUCAUGAAAACAGCUUUGUGAUGUAAUGUACCUAGGUGACAAGUUUUAUCAUUGUUGAGUAGAUUAAGAGAACAAAGUAACUAGCUUUUAUAAGUGACUCUUCCAUCAUUACACCAAAAUGCAUUGAUGAUGAUGUGGGUUGAAUAUACUAAAAUUGUGUUAAUACUUGUGUAUAAUCUUGAACCACUUAAAGGAGGGUCUAAUUUUUGAAACUUGAUGUUUCUUAAUUUUCACUUCUCAUGUUGAUCACUUCGUGAGGCAUCUAUGAAUGUUUCUAUUCUAUUUUGUAUUUGGUCAAGAUAAUAAUGUAGAUCGUGCUGAAUUUUUCUAUAUAUGGUAAUAUUUGGUUAAGAUAAUAAUUUUGAUAGUGCUUAAUUUUGCUAUGGUAAUGAAGAUAUUUCGUGAUACUGUGGUUUUAAGUAAUUCUAUUUAUACAUGCCAUGCCUCUGCUGAUGUGCUCUAUUAUUGAUUAACAUAUAGUUCCAUGCUUUUGACUUCCGCGCUACAACAAGAAACGAGCCUUUUUUGCAACUUUUUCACUGCCUGUAUGUGUAUUUGUUGAUUGUAAGUUUGGGUAGGAAAGCUUCCAGCUACAGAAUUCCAUCUUCCUUUUUGUUAAGAUGGCCAGUAUUUAUUGGGUCUUACGUCUUGCACACUGACUUGUAUUUAACUUAAAAAUAAGCAUGAUUUUUUUAAAAAAAAAUGCA